AAAUUUUAAAAUUAUGCAAAUAUAGACGAAGGUAUUGUCUAACUAGUAUUUGUAUUUGAAUAAAUAUAUUUAAGAUUAUUAUGAUGAAGUAAUAAUUAAAUUUAUUAUAAAUUAUUUUCUAAUUUUUUUCUUAUUUGACGGUCGACGGAAAUUAGGUUUUGUCAAGAUUUAACACAACGCUCGAGAUAGUUGUCGUCACAUAUUUAACAAAAAAAUAGAUGAGAUAAAUAAGUAAGGAAAGCAUAUUCUCGAAUAGUAAUUUUCACGAAUCACUAAACGAGGUUACACCGACUUUAACUAUUUAUCACAUGAGUGAGCUAUGAUAAAUAAAAUUUGUAUUGUGGUUGUAUUAUUCGAUUAAUUGCCAAAAUGUAACGACAACAUCGUGAGCUAUUAAGUUUAAGAUCCCCAGUCACAAAAGGGAAGUGUCGUACAUUGAAUAGCUGUAUUUGGUAGGGUUCUGGCUAAGGAAAAAUUUGGUAAACUAUGUCCUUUACAGUUGCCUAUCUUUUUUGGGAAGUCAACCAUACAUUGUUUACUGUACAAGCUGAACUUACCGUGAGGUUUGUGUGAGGUGAGAAUUAAAAUAAUGUAUUUUUGGAGAUUAAAGUACUACCAAGCAGGUUUUCAGGAUCUGAAUGGCAGUCCAUAUAUAUUUGCAUUUAGGGAUGUAUAAUUCCACCGCCGUGUGUAUGGCGCACGAGGUUGAUCAACUACCUGAAUCCUGACGAGGAUUAUUACCUUGCACUUAGCAAGAUAAAAAAAUCUUGUCCUAUUUUUUUAAGGGCGAUCAGGAUUAUUACCUUGCACUUAGCAAGAUAAAGAAAUCUUGUCCUGUUUUUUUAAGGGCGAUCGACUUAUAACACUUACAUUCCAUGUGAAGUCAGGUGCCAUUUGCUCUUGGUAAAUGGAAGAACGUUGAUGGCAGGUGGUCUCAGAUGGACGGACAGUUCUUAACCCUUUUCAGGAUAGCAGCGGGUCAAAGAGUAUGGGGCACACUUUAGAUUCAGUACCACGAUGGCGACAAGGACGAAGGAAGAUGGAGAAUAGAUGCUACUACUAAUACUCUCACUCUUACGGGCCUAGUGACUUAUAUCUACUGAAGUCCUGGGAUGUUUGAUGCUUUCUUUACUGCUCUUGUCCAAAUAACUCAGACAUUACCAUUCCACUGUAUUUGGGAGAGCCAUCACCACUUUAAUGAGCCGACGCCACAGAACCUAGGAAGAAGACAUGUAUGUCGGGAUGCUCGUGCUUACCGUCGUCUAUUUGGCCAGGUUUACCGUGGGCGAGGCUGUGGACUUGGAUUCAGACAAGUGCCAAGAGAUCAACCGGCUUCGAUCGAGGAUUCAACUAUUUCAUCUUAUCACCUAGGUGACCCCUAGACAUUUGUCUCGAUGGAGGUAGAAUGACGACUCUUUUGGAUAGGGAAACAUUUUGUUUGUACAGCCAGUAUAGUGUCUAUCUUUUUGUUUGGCCGAUCGUCGCCAUCUUUUGUGGAUACUCUUGGAUUAGUCUGGGAGCUUUAGUUUGUUUUUUUGGUGUGGCGCUGCCACAGUAAACUAUAUCAUGACUAUAUACAUAGGUUAUAUGUAUAUGUAUGAAGUAUGUUUGCUUUUAUGUUACCUUUUUGUUUUAAAUUUGA